rnacentral:rRNA from 2 species
UGGAGGGCAAGUCUGGUGCCAGCAGCCGCGGUAAUUCCAGCUCCAAUAGCGUAUAUUAAAGUUGUUGCGGUUAAAAAGCUCGUAGUUGAAUCUGUGUGUCACAGUGUCGGUUCACCGCUCGCGGUGUCUAACUGGCAUUAUGUGGUACGUCCUACCGGUGGGCUUAGCUCCUUGCGGGCGGUCCAACUAAUCUCCCAUCGCGGUGCUCUUCACUGAGUGUCGAGGUGGGCCGGUACGUUUACUUUGAACAAAUUAGAGUGCUCAAAGCAGGCUACCUUCGCCUGAAUACUGCGUGCAUGGAAUAAUGGAAUAGGACCUCGGUUCUAUUUUGUUGGUUUUCGGAACCCCGAGGUAAUGAUUAAUAGGGACAGAUGGGGGCAUUCGUAUUGCGACGUUAGAGGUGAAAUUCUUGGAUCGUCGCAAGACGGACUAAAGCGAAAGCAUUUGCCAAAAAUGUUUUCAUUAAUCAAGAACGAAAGUUAGAGGUUCGAAGGCGAUCAGAUACCGCCCUAGUUCUAACCAUAAACGAUGCCAGCUAGCGAUCCGCCGAUGUUCCUCCGAUGACUCGGCGGGCAGCUUCCGGGAAACCAAAGCUUUUGGGU